rnacentral:rRNA from 1 species
AUACGUAGGGGGCGAGCGUUGUCCGGAAUUAUUGGGCGUAAAGGGCGCGUAGGCGGCGCGGUAAGUCUGGAGUGAAAGUCCUGCUUUCAAGGUGGGAAUUGCUUUGGAUACUGCCGCGCUUGAGUGCAGGAGAGGUUAUCGGAAUUCCCGGUGUAGCGGUGAAAUGCGUAGAGAUCGGGAGGAACGCCAGUGGCGAAGGCGGGUAACUGGGCUGCAACUGACGCUGAGGCGCGAAAGUGUGGGGAGCAAACAGGAUUAGAUACCCUGGUAGUCCACACUGUAAACGAUGAAUGCUAGGUGUAAGAGGGAUUGACCCCUUUUGUGCCGGAGUCAACACAAUAAGCAUUCCGCCUGGGGAGUACGGCCGCAAGGUUGAAACUCAAAUGAAUUGACGGGG